AUUGAACGCUGGCGGAACGCUUUACACAUGCAAGUCGAACGGUAACGUGGGGAGGAGCUUGCUCCACCCCGACGACGAGUGGCGAACGGGUGAGUAAUACAUCGGAACGUGUCCGCUCGUGGGGGACAACCAGCCGAAAGGUUGGCUAAUACCGCAUGAGUUCUACGGAAGAAAGAGGGGGAUCCGCAAGGGCCUCUCGCGAGCGGAGCGGCCGAUGACUGAUUAGCCGGUUGGUGAGGUAACGGCUCACCAAAGCAACGAUCAGUAGCUGGUCUGAGAGGACGAUCAGCCACACUGGGACUGAGACACGGCCCAGACUCCUACGGGAGGCAGCAGUGGGGAAUUUUGGACAAUGGGCGCAAGCCUGAUCCAGCUAUUCCGCGUGUGGGAUGAAGGCCCUCGGGUUGUAAACCACUUUUGUAGAGAACGAAAAGACACCAUCGAAUAAAUGGUGUUGCUGACGGUAC
rnacentral:rRNA from 1 species